UCCUACGGGAGGCAGCAGUGGGGAAUCUUGCACAAUGGGGGAAACCCUGAUGCAGCGACGCCGCGUGAGCGAUGAAGCCCUUCGGGGUGUAAAGCUCUUUCGUCAGGGAAGAUUAUGACGGUACCUGGAGAAGCAGCUGCGGCUAACUACGUGCCAGCAGCCGCGGUAAUACGUAGGCAGCAAGCGUUGUUCGGAGUUACUGGGCGUAAAGGGUGUGUAGGCGGUUCUUUAAGUUUGGUGUGAAAUCUCCCGGCUCAACCGGGAGGGUGCGCCGAAUACUGAGGGACUAGAGUGUGGGAGAGGAAAGUGGAAUUCCUGGUGUAGCGGUGAAAUGCGUAGAUAUCAGGAGGAACACCGGUGGUGUAGACGGCUUUCUGGACCAUAACUGACGCUGAGACACGAAAGCGUGGGUAGCAAACAGGAUUAGAUACCCUGGUAGUCCACGCCCUAAACGAUGCAUAUUUGGUGUGGGUCAUUCAGUUGAUCCGUGCCGGAGCUAACGCGUUAAAUAUGCCGCCUGGGGAGUACAGUCGCAAGGCUGAAACUCAAAGGAAUUGACGGGGGCCCGCACAAGCGGUGGAGCAUGUGGUUCAAUUCGACGCAACGCGAAGAACCUUACCUGGGCUCGAACGGCUUCUCAACGUCGGUAGAAAUACUGAUACCCCGCAAGGGGGUGGAGUCGAGGUGCUGCAUGGCUGUCGUCAGCUCGUGUCGUGAGAUGUUGGGUUAAGUCCCGCAACGAGCGCAACCCCCGUCCUGUGUUGCCAUCAUUCAGUUGGGAACUCGCAGGAGACCGCCAGCGAUAAGCUGGAGGAAGGUGGGGAUGACGUCAAGUCCUCAUGGCCUUUAUGUCCAGGGCUACACACGUGCUACAAUGGACGGUACAAACCGCAGCAAACC
rnacentral:rRNA from 1 species